UCUGAGGAUAAAAUACUAGGGAAAAUGCCA
rnacentral:piRNA from 1 species